UACGUAGGGGGCGAGCGUUGUCCGGAGUUACUGGGCGUAAAGGGCGCGUAGGCGGUUGGGUCAGUUUCCCAUGACAGUGCCUGGCUUAACUGGGCAAGGUUUGGCGAAAGACGGCUCGACUUGAGGGCCAGAGAGGGACAUAGAAUUCCGGGUGGAGUGGUGAAAUGCGUAGAUAUCCGGAGGAAUACCGAAGGCGAAGGCAGUGUCCUGGCUGGCAACUGACGCUGAGGCGCGAAAGCUAGGGG
rnacentral:rRNA from 1 species